GCAAGUCGAGGGGUAACAGGUAGCUUGCUAUGCUGACGACCGGCGAACGGGUGCGUAACGCGUAUAGAAUCUGCCUUGUACAGGAGGAUAGCCUUUAGAAAUGAAGAUUAACACUCCAUAGUGCUGAGAGGUGGCAUCACUUUUUAGUUAAACAUUUAUGGGUACAAGAUGACUAUGCGUCCUAUUAGCUAGAUGGUAAGGUAACGGCUUACCAUGGCAACGAUAGGUAGGGGGUCUGAGAGGAUUAUC
rnacentral:rRNA from 1 species